rnacentral:rRNA from 1 species
UACGAAGGGGGCUAGCGUUGCUCGGAAUUACUGGGCGUAAAGGGCGCGUAGGCGGAUAUCUAAGUUGGGGGUGAAAUCCCCGGGGCUCAACCUCGGAAUUGCCUUCAAAACUGGAUAUCUUGAGUUCGGGGAGAGGUGAGUGGAACUCCGAGUGUAGAGGUGAAAUUCGUAGAUAUUCGGAAGAACACCAGUGGCGAAGGCGACUCACUGGGACGGUACUGACGCUGAGGCGCGAAAGCGUGGGGAGCAAACAGG